rnacentral:ncRNA from 1 species
CUUGCAUCUUUAGAAGCAACAGCUGCACUCAGUACAACGGUAUCGCCAUAACGAACCAAUACUGCACCAUUUGCCUGCUUUGCCAUUUGACCAAUUUCAACUUGCAGAGGGCGUCCGCCCCAAGUGGUUUUAAAUACUUGUUUCUCUGACAUAAAAAAUCUCCUUCUCUCUAUUGAAAGUA